GACGAACGCUGGCGGCGUGCCUAAUACAUGCAAGUUGAGCGCUGAAGGUUGGUACUUGUACCAACUGGAUGAGCAGCGAACGGGUGAGUAACGCGUGGGGAAUCUGCCUUUGAGCGGGGGACAACAUUUGGAAACGAAUGCUAAUACCGCAUAAAAACUUUAAACACAAGUUUUAAGUUUGAAAGAUGCAAUUGCAUCACUCAAAGAUGAUCCCGCGUUGUAUUAGCUAGUUGGUGUGGUAAAGGCUCACCAAGGCGAUGAUACAUAGCCGACCUGAGAGGGUGAUCGGCCACAUUGGGACUGAGACACGGCCCAAACUCCUACGGGAGGCAGCAGUAGGGAAUCUUCGGCAAUGGACGAAAGUCUGACCGAGCAACGCCGCGUGAGUGAAGAAGGUUUUCGGAUCGUAAAACUCUGUUGGUAGAGAAGAACGUUGGUGAGAGUGGAAAGCUCAUCAAGUGACGGUAACUACCCAGAAAGGGACGGCUAACUACGUG
rnacentral:rRNA from 1 species